AGCCAAGCCCCAACAAAAACGGAGGAGAAAACUUUCAGACGCUUUGAAAGCUUUUGGGGUCCUCGUUUCUGGGAGAGUACACAGCACCUCCUGUAUCACAACCAUUCUGCCGGCACACCUUCAGCAGCACAAUGUUUCUAACGGGAGCUGGAGGGUGAUCAGCUUCAUUGAAGAACAGGAGGAGGAGAGGCACAACGUUUGUCAUUUGUGAUAUGUUUUUAGACUUUUCUCCUAACUAAAAAAACUAUGUUUUGUUAAUUUCUUGAUAUAGUUCUUGUAUUUAAAUAUUUUAACAAUCAAAUAUUUUUCAACUGUGUUUUAGAUAUGAAUUGUAUGAAAUAAAUCAGUGAAGCCCCA